UUAAACGGCCGCGGUAUUUUGACCGUGCAAAGGUAGCGCAAUCACUUGUCUUUUAAAUGAAGACCCGUAUGAAUGGUUAAACGAGGGCUUAACUGUCUCCCUUCUCCAGUCAAUGAAAUUGAUCUACCCGUGCAGAAGCGGGUGUAAAUCUACAAGACGAGAAGACCCUUUGGAGCUUAAGACAAAACAUCACCUAUGUUAAGUAAAAAAAAUAAAACUAAAUAGUUCUUGAUUAUAGUCUUCGGUUGGGGCGACCGCGGGAUAAAAUUAAACUCCCGCAAGGACUGAAGAAACCCUUUAAAACUAAGAAAGACAUUUCUAAGUCACAGAAUUUCUGACCACAAAGAUCCGGCCAUGCCGAUCAACGAACCAAGUUACCCUAGGGAUAACAGCGCAAUCCCCUUUUAGAGUUCCUAUCGACAAGGGGGUUUACGACCUCGAUGUUGGAUCAGGACAUCCUAAUGGUGCAGCCGCUAUUAAGGGUUCGUUUGUUCAACGAUUAAAGUCCUAC
rnacentral:rRNA from 1 species